AUUCCUACGGGAGGCAGCAGUGGGGAAUAUUGCACAAUGGGCGCAAGCCUGAUGCAGCGACGCCGCGUGAGGGAUGAAGGCCUUCGGGUUGUAAACCUCUUUCAGCAGGGAAGAAGCAGCCGGGUUUUCUUGGUUGUGACGGUACCUGCAGAAGAAGCACCGGCUAACUACGUGCCAGCAGCCGCGGUAAUACGUAGGGUGCAAGCGUUGUCCGGAAUUAUUGGGCGUAAAGAGCUUGUAGGUGGUUUGUCGCGUCUGUUGUGAAAUUUCGGGGCUCAACCCCGAACUUGCAGUGGAUACGGGCAGACUAGAGUGUGGUAGGGGAGACUGGAAUUCCUGGUGUAGCGGUGAAAUGCGCAGAUAUCAGGAGGAACACCGAUGGCGAAGGCAGGUCUCUGGGCCAUUACUGACACUGAGAAGCGAAAGCAUGGGGAGCGAACAGGAUUAGAUACCCUGGUAGUCCAUGCCGUAAACGGUGGGAACUAGGUGUGGGUCUCAUUCCACGAGAUCCGUGCCGCAGCUAACGCAUUAAGUUCCCCGCCUGGGGAGUACGGCCGCAAGGCUAAAACUCAAAGGAAUUGACGGGGGCCCGCACAAGCGGCGGAGCAUGCGGAUUAGUUCGAUGCAACGCGAAGAACCUUACCAAGGCUUGACAUGUGCCGGAAAAGUGCAGAGAUGUGCUCCCCGCAAGGUCGGUACACAGGUGGUGCAUGGUUGUCGUCAGCUCGUGUCGUGAGAUGUUGGGUUAAGUCCCGCAACGAGCGCAACCCUCGUUCUAUGUUGCCAGCGGGUUAUGCCGGGGACUCAUAGGAGACUGCCGGGGUCAACACGGAGGAAGGUGGGGAUGACGUCAAAUCAUCAUGCCCCUUAUGUCUUGGGCUUCACGCAUGCUACAAUGGCCAGUACAAAGGGCUGCGAUACCGCAAGGUGGAGCGAAUCCCAAAAAACUGGUCUCAGUUCGGAUUGGGGUCUGCAACUCGACCCCAUGAAGUCGGAGUCGCUAGUAAUCGCAGAUCAGCAACGCUGCGGUGAAUACGUUCCCGGGCCUUGUACACACCGCC
rnacentral:rRNA from 1 species